GAGCAAGCGAUACCCCCGACGUCCUACACCGCGAAUUGGUUUACGAAACCGAUUAUCACGAAUUCUUGAUUUUUCGUAUUGUGAACUGAGGCCGUUUAAGUGGAACUUCGUGUUAACUAGGAACGGAUACAUUCAUUUAACGCGUCCAACGUGUCCUUCCCUUCCUCAUUUUUCUCUUUUUUAAGUUAUGAUUAGAUACCGAAAAUUGCUGUAUUAAACAACUUAUCAAUUCCGAAAAGCUACGGAUAAAUUGCACUUUUUAGGAGAAACUUUUCUAGUAACACGAUACAUAUGAUAUGUAGGACGUAUAAUGUGUGCAGAUGUUUGAAUUUUUCAACACGACACGCGAUGCAACGAUUGUAGGUUCGAGCAUUCAUCGAAAGGGAGAAACACAGAUUUUUGUAUUUUUGCACAAGAUAUAUCCCUGUAAAAUAUAUAUUAUGCGAUUACAUAAAAAUAUUCGUGUGUACUAGAAUUUUUUUAUUAAUUAUUUUUGCCAUCAUCUAUAAUAUAUUUAUGUCGACAGAUAUAAAAAUCGAUUGAAUCAUGCAGGAUAUUAUCAGAAUGAAUAAGCGUUAUGACUCAUUGUCGAAACCGCGAAAUGUUAUUUAACUUCAAUAUGGAAGUUUUAUCGCGUUAUAGUGUGUAAUGUUAUUGAAACGCUUGUAUAGAGAUAGUUUUCUUCGGAAUUUCGUUAAACGUGACGAAAAAGAAAGUGUGUUUUAUCUCUGAUUGCAUGUGAUUAAACCACAACGAAUAUGUCAGGAACGAUUCGAGCGAAUUAUUGAAACAAUAAUUAUUUCAUAUAAUUAAAAAACACUGACUUUAGUCAAUGUAAUUAAUUUUCCAUGAGCGAUCCCAGCACACACGAUCGCUCGCCAGUAUAGAUUAUUAUCAUGUGCCAGAUAGCUCUAUCUGUUUUGUGAGAUCUUGUUGUACGUGAGCGAUACGAUUAGCAGACUUACGCAAGAAACGGCCGACAAUAUGCACUCGACUCAAAUAAAGCGAUUAAGUAAAGAGUGUUCGUAAAAUAUACACGUUCGCAUUUCCACAGUUUUCCUGACAAACGAUCCGUGUAAUAUUUCCUGCGUUCAUCGUUUCGCCGGACCGUCUGACAGCGAUUCAAGGCCAUCGAUCCGCGAAACUUCAUUGAGUCCUUCGUCCACGUCUCCAAGUUCUCCGAAAUUCUUGAUCGUUUUGGGACAAAGUUGUGCACCGUUCACUCCACAAGGUAUGUGGAAAGUGCGUGUGUGUCGCGAAAUAUGAUCAUGUAGCAAGUAGCGUUUGCAUAAGUAUCAGUAAUGAGAUUAUCCAAUCUUCUUGCACGACUUAAUGAAGUUGGAAAAGUUCAUACGCCAUCUUCACUCAUAUGGAGUCUCAAGCAUUGAUUGUCACUCUCUGAUCCUUACGAAGGCCGAUUUACACGACUGGAAUUUUGUUUUUAAGUGUGACUCAUAUCCUGAUUGAUUAAUACUACGAUACGUGUACAGUUAAGAUCGAGUCUGUCUCAUGCUGAUCUCUGUCUAAUAAUUGUUUACCGAAAUAUAGAACGAGACGCUACGUACAAUAAUUGUCUAGGCCUGCUUUUGUCACUUUAAUGUUCAGAAUAAUAGCUCUACGAAAUUUUGGUGAUUUCUACAAAGUCCUUAUGCUCCAUUCGUUAUUAAUGAUCAAUUAAAUGGCUGUGAUCAACUCUCAGCUUUAAUUUCUACCAAACACCUAACGAGACAAUAUUUGUUGUGCAUUCAGGGCAAUGACGAUAGUGAAUAUCUGUGAAAGAAGAGCGCGUUGAGGCACGACAUCUAUUUGCAGAAUGCGACUCGCUCACAUAUUAUCUAAGAGACUUAUAAAACAUAAAAAUAUCUUUAUCUGUAUUCUACAAAUGUCUACACGUUAAACGAAAGACGUCCGUAAGAAUUUAAUCUUUAAACUUCUUUAAUCUUCUUUAAUUAUCACGAGGAAAUUUCUGUUCUUACUUACUUUACUGCAGACAAUACUCAAUUAAUACUAAAACUAUUGAUGAUUCAUUUCUAUCAGAGCGAUAAAAAUGACAGAUUUUUGAACAAACAUGUAAUGCAGAAGAAAAAUGGUCGGUGAUCUUUAUUUAACACCAAUUGAAAAUCUAAAAUGCACCAUUAUAAAUUUGAGUAAUUGUUAUGAGAAAUUCGAUCAUUUUGAUCACUUUGGUAAUUCCAACAUUAAUCCGCGUGAUUCGAUAUCUUCGCUUUGAUAUUCGAACUUUUUAUCCCUACGUUAAAUUAGACGCUUCACGCGCGGUUGGUCGACAUUGGCUGCCGGUUGAUGACAGUGUUGAGGUUUUAGGCACAACUUGCUGGGAUUUGCAUGUAAUUGCCGCAGGCUACAUGUCUUGCCUCUAGGCUGCGUCAGGGUUUACCCACGUUCUAUACACCUUGAUAUUGGAAGCCUAAGCGAUGUCCUAAGUUUGGCCAUAGGUCUGCACAUGAGUUCCUUACAAACCUGUUUAUGAGAGAAACUCUCCCGUGGAAAAAUCAUCUCGUAUACAUGACAUUAUUUGAAACAAAAUUCCAAGCGCCUUCGCAUUCUAUGUUAUUACGAGAAGAUUAUCCUGACAGUGAAGUCGCGAACAAUUUAUCAUUACUUCGGUGUACUUUCUGAUCGAGUGAAACUCGAUUUUUCGGAAGCACUGAAAGAUAUGAUCGAUCUUCUUGAUGCUAUGAGGAAGUGCAGAGUAUUCAGCCAUAACUAGCAGGGGUACACCGUAGACCCCGGUGAAUGGGGAGCUAUAUGUAUAAUUGAAAGGCUGACACGGCGGACGACUUGAAGGAAGUUGCAAUCGUGAUUGGCCUGCAUAAUGAAGAAGCUCGAACGCCAUUAUACUCGAUGGCGAGCUUAAAGUUCCAGGCACCUACCAGGUGGAUACCUCCGUGACAAUCCUGAUAUGUUGCCCCGCUGAGAAGCAAACCUCAAACUUGGCAAGUUCAUCUGGCUUAUCCCGGCCUUUGUGGGGAUAAAACGGCGGGCUACGUCCGCGUGAUUUUCUCUCAUGCAAAUUUGCCCCGCGGAAGUUGAAGCGCUUCAAGAUUGCAUCGAUGAUGCGCGAGCGCGUAAUCCCGCCUAUACUCGGCAGCAAAGAGUACGGUAGUCUUGAGUCGGUAAAAUGGAAAAAGUGCAAUUUAAAUAUUCGAAAUGUGCCGUGCGACUAACAGGUCUCAGCGAUUAUUGCUACACUUGAACGAUUAAUUAUAACUCAGGCGUUAUUACGAGUCUUAUGUCAGAGAAUAUAGUCAAAAUGCAUAAAAUGACAUCUGCCAACACUCGAAAAACUUUCUCGGAAUAAAAUUCAUAUAUAGACAAUAUUUUUCUUGUGUCGAAAAAAUCCGAUGAUUCUGCACUCUCUCUAAGAACUCGGAAUUAAAUAAUCUUCCAGAUAAUAUUUGAUUAUCUCUUUGAUAUAUCGUCAUCGUUCGAUAAGAACUGUCACUGUUGGCCUUAUCGAAUGUUUCGCGAAAUAAAAGUCGUUACGACAAUAGCAUAUGAGAGAUUCUGCGAAUUGUUAUCUUCCAAUUGCACAUGUCCUAAGUCCAUUAAUAUUAGUGUUCGAAUAGAUCUUUAUUUACGAAAUUAUUGAUCAAAGUUCUUGCCUUUUGUAUUACUUGUUCGCUCUAUAAAAUAAUAGAUUAAAUAUCUCAAAGUAGUAACACUUUUUGUCAUACAGAUUAAGAUUUAGCGAGCGGAUUACAUUUCGUAGGAAGAGAAACGUGUUAUCGGUGAAUGAAGUGGCAGCAGUCGAUAUUGCUUUUUUAUCUUUUCGCCGACGCAGCGGUAUAAUUAAUUCAUGAAAAGGAAUUUUACCUGAAAAUUUCGUUGAUUCUUAUCCAACUAGAUAAGACACAGUAAAUCACGAGGAAAUCGAGAAUAAUAUAAUGGAUGAAUAUUCUUAGAAACGUAGGUCGCAAUAUCGCAAUAUCGCAAUAUUCGACGCAUUCGAUUACAGUUAUUAAUAAACUUUGUCAUCUUUUA